UCCCUAGUGGCUCAAGGUAAAGCGUCUGUCUGCAAUGCAGGAGAUGCGGGUUUGAUCCCUGGGUUGGGAA
rfam:Ovis aries breed Texel chromosome 3, whole genome shotgun sequence.